UACAGAGGCCUCGAGCGUUGUUCGGAAUUACUGGGCGUAAAGGGAAUGUAGGCGGUGACGUAAGUCAGAUGUGAAAGCCCUAGGCUUAACCUGGGAAGUGCAUUUGAUACUGCGUCGCUAGAGUGCGAUAGAGGAAAGCGGAAUUCCAGGUGUAGGGGUGAAAUCCGUAGAUAUCUGGAGGAAUACCGAUGGCGAAGGCAGCUUUCUGGCUCGUAACUGACGCUGAGAUUCGAAAGCGUGGGUAGCAAACAGG
rnacentral:rRNA from 1 species